GAGGGAGCAGCCCUUCUCUUGCUGCUCUCUGGCACAUCUCACCAAACCAGACACCAGAAGGGCCAGCAAGGCAAAAGGGAUCCUAGGUGGCCUGAAGCUUUCCAAAGGUCUGUUUCGCCUUGUGUUAGCCCACUUGGGAGCUGAGCAUCUGCACUUGGAGUUGGUAUCUCGUGGCUGUGGGGCUGCAGGGACGUGCAGGCUGCAUGGCAGUCCCCGUGUCAGGACCAGCUGCUCCAUCCCUGGGGCCACGUACCCACUGAGGCAGAGUCCUACUGCUGUAUUGGCCACAGGAGAUUCACCAGGGAAGGGGAGCCAGUCCCAGGAAGGGUUCUUGUGUCCCAAGACCCAGGCCCAUGCCAAUGGGCUGGCAGGCUGUUAUUAAAGUAAAGGACUACUAAAGGACUUCUGGCAUUUGUUCCAUGGGUUUCCUGACCUGCAUUGUCAAAGCCAAGCAAAGCAGAGGGGAUAGAAGAGUCACUAGAAAGGCAGAGCUCCUGCACAGUACUCACCUUCCACAGACUUCAGGCUCUCUAGGGAGGGCUCAGCCCAGUGUUAUUACUCACGGCAGAAAUGGAGGCUCUGAGUGUCCCAGGUGACCUUAGAGGGCAAUGGCAGCAGUGGAGUUUGGACAUCCAGGACUCACAGAAUAAAUAUGCAGAGAAUUUAAAUUCUUAACUCAGCACCAUUCAGCAUCGUCCUGGAAUUAAGCUGAAGUCUGAUUUUCAUAUUUUACUCAUAAACGGUUUGCCUUUAUUCUCAUGUUUCCAUAACAGUGAAAUUUAGCAGGUCAGAGUCAGCUUUGGAGAUGCUCAUCUCCCCGCACACCAUACAGGCAGCUGUAGCUGGAAAGCUUGGCUUUAAAUAGUGACCUGGAAGUGGUAAAGCAAUGCACGCUCCCAUGCAGAAUUAGGAGCACCAAGGCUGCCUCUGCAGCCAUAGCAGGCUGGCUAUGAAGCACGCCUUGGGUGAUGAAUGAAAUGAUCUCAUAGUUUGCUCACCUCACUUAGCCUGGAGUGCAGCUGGGGUGGAACAACAGCUCUCUUCCCUUUCUUGCAGGAAUUGUUUAAUGGGUGUCCUGUUUUGCCCAGCCUUGCUCUGAAUACAGCACUCUAAAUG
rnacentral:lncRNA from 7 species